ensembl:lncRNA
CAGCUAAUGAGAAGUACUCGCCGCCUGUGACAGGCCCAGCAGAGGGAGUUUGGGGUGAGAAGUAUCUUGAGUGUGAGGUGAAGUGAGUGAGGUCCUAGCACAGAGCAGACCCAGGGAAGACCUCCAGCUGCCCUGUGCACAUGGAUGCACAGGAGGAUGGAGGACACUCCAAGACCAAGCUUCCAUACAGGGCAGGGUAGGCAGGGCCACCUGGCACCCUGGGCCGGUAAACAGAGCCUUCCCUGGAAGGUGCACCCCCCCCCCUGCCCUGAGGGCCCCAUGGGAGGGGCUCAGAGUGGUGCACCAAGGCAGCCCUGUCAGAGCAAACCUCAAGGAAAGGAUCGGUGACACUGCCAAGAGGAUAAGCAGCUAAUGCAGAGCCACACAAGUGGUCUGCCCUGAGAUGGACACUGAGCUGGAGGUGUGAGCAUCAUUUGUGGUCAUGGGAGGCAGAGGCCUAACGUGUGUCCAGUUCUCUGCAGCCAAGAGGUCAACACAGAUGGCCUCUUGCCCAGCACCCAGCAGGUGCUCAGUGGACUGGUUCAGCCAGUACUGCAAACUCCUGCUUUCCUAACUUGUUGUGUGGGUGUUUCUCCUGCUGCAUGUCACCAGGCUGCCAGGAGGAGUUUUGUGUGACAACCUUCCCUGUGCCGUUCACCCUGCAAAUUGCUGGACACCCAUGGGAAGAUGCCAUAGCCUCCCCUAUACCCCAGAGUCAUUUUGCUGUGCUUGCUGGGUCUGCUGUAGAAACAGGAAGUCACUUCCUCCUAGAAGGUCAGCACAGGUGCCUCCUAUGGGGGGUUGGGUUUGAACCAGUGAGGGUUCUUGUAUGGAUACAUGCUGGAGGGGCAGUGGAAGGACCAUUCAGAGGAGAGGGCACAGCAUGAGCCGGAACCUGGGAACAUAAAAUAGAAUCAGAGUCCAUGUGACUUUGUGGACACUUGCAUGGGACAGGCGGGAUGUGGACACUGAGAUGACAAUGGGGGAUUCUUGUACCUGUGGCUCUGGUUCUCCUCAGGGGAACCCCCUUUAGAAAGUCACAGAGUUUCUGGUGAAUUGACAGAGAACCAGGCAGUCUAUGAAGCUGGCAUGUGAUAUGGGGGAUGUACUUAUGCUAAAAAUCACGUGGUUAUUUAUCCAAAAGUCACACCUUGCAUUAUCUGACAACCAUAGGAGCAUGGGACCUAGACCUGGGUGUUUUUAAAGGGUCUGAUAUACAGAGCUGAGAACCAUGAGCAAGAGGCUUGCACUGCUGUGAGCAAGCCCACUGUCUCCUGUCCCAGGCCCGGUCCCCAAGGGCAAAGACUUCUGAGUAGAUGGAGCAUUCCCAGUCUUAGAAACUUCUCCUGGGAAGCUUUUGAGAUCUCCUUCUUACUCAUCCUUUCCAUCUGUCUCAUAGAUGCCUCUCACAGUGAUUAAAAACCUAUUUUUUAUGUAAAUUGGAAAGUCUACAAUCCAUCUUAAUUUUUUAAUACUUUAAACAAUGUAGGAGUUCCUGUUGUGGCUCAGCAGAUUAAGAAUCAGACAUAGUGUCUGUGAAGAUGUGGGUUCAAUCUCUGGCUGCUCAGUGGGUUAAGAGUCUGGCAUUACUGCAAGCUGAGGCAUAGGUCACAAAUACGACCUGGAUCUGGUGUUGCUGUGGCUGCAGCAUAGGCCAGCAGCUGCAGUUCCAAUUCGGCCCUAGCCUGGGAACUUCCAUAUGCCACAGGUGCAU